rnacentral:tRNA from 1 species
GCGCGAGUAGCUCAACGGAUAGAGCAACUGCCUUCUAAGCAGUAGGUUGUGAGUUCGAAUCUCGCCUCGCGCACCA